GACUCGUCACACUAUCAUUAACUGAAUCCAUAGGUUAAUGAGGCGAACCGGGGGAACUGAAACAUCUAAGUACCCCGAGGAAAAGAAAUCAACCGAGAUUCCCCCAGUAGCGGCGAGCGAACGGGGAGGAGCCCAGAGCCUGAAUCAGCAUGUGUGUUAGUGGAAGCGUCUGGAAAGGCGCGCGAUACAGGGUGACAGCCCCGUACACAAAAGCGCAUGUGCUGUGAGCUCGAUGAGUAGGGCGGGACACGUGGUAUCCUGUCUGAAUAUGGGGGGACCAUCCUCCAAGGCUAAAUACUCCUGACUGACCGAUAGUGAACCAGUACCGUGAGGGAAAGGCGAAAAGAACCCCGGCGAGGGGAGUGAAAAAGAACCUGAAACCGUGUACGUACAAGCAGUGGGAGCACCCUUUGGGGUGUGACUGCGUACCUUUUGUAUAAUGGGUC
rnacentral:rRNA from 1 species